rnacentral:rRNA from 1 species
GAUGAACGCUGGCGGCGUGCCUAAUACAUGCAAGUCGAACGCUGAAGGAAGGAGCUUGCUCUUUCCGGAUGAGUUGCGAACGGGUGAGUAACGCGUAGGUAACCUGCCUGGUAGCGGGGGAUAACUAUUGGAAACGAUAGCUAAUACCGCAUAACAGUAGAUGUUGCAUGAUAUCUACUUAAAAGGUGCAAUUGCACCACUACCAGAUGGACCUGCGUUGUAUUAGCUAGUUGGUGAGGUAACGGCUCACCAAGGCGACGAUACAUAGCCGACCUGAGAGGGUGAUCGGCCACACUGGGACUGAGAAACGGCCCAGACUCCUACGGGAGGCAGCAGUAGGGAAUCUUCGGCAAUGGACGGAAGGCUGACCGAGCAACGCCGCGGGAGUGAAGAAGGUUUUCGGAUCGGAAAGCUCUGUUGUAAGAGAAGAACGAGUGUGAGAGUGGAAAGUUCACACUGUGACGGUAUCUUACCAGAAAGGGACGGCUAACUACGUG